GGCCCAGACUCCUACGGGAGGCAGCAGUGGGGAAUAUUGCACAAUGGGGGGAAACCCUGAUGCAGCGACGCCGCGUGGGUGAAGAAGUAUUUCGGUAUGUAAAGCCCUAUCAGCAGGGAAGAAGAAUGACGGUACCUGACUAAGAAGCACCGGCUAAAUACGUGCCAGCAGCCGCGGUAAUACGUAUGGUGCAAGCGUUAUCCGGAUUUACUGGGUGUAAAGGGAGCGCGGGCGGCACGCUAAGCCGGCGGUCAAAUCGCGGGGCUCAACCCCGCCCAGCCGUCGGAACUGCCGGGCUAGAGUGGGCGAGAAGUGCGCGGAAUGCGUGGUGUAGCGGUGAAAUGCAUAGAUAUCACGCAGAACUCCGAUUGCGAAGGCAGCGCACCGGCGCCCUACUGACGCUCAGGCACGAAAGCGUGGGUAUCGAACAGGAUUAGAUACCCCCGUAUA
rnacentral:rRNA from 1 species